rnacentral:rRNA from 1 species
GAUGAACGCUGGCGGCGUGCCUAAUACAUGCAAGUCGAGCGAACAGACGAGGAGCUUGCUCCUCUGACGUUAGCGGCGGACGGGUGAGUAACACGUGGAUAACCUACCUAUAAGACUGGGAUAACUUCGGGAAACCGGAGCUAAUACCGGAUAAUAUAUUGAACCGCAUGGUUCAAUAGUGAAAGACGGUUUUGCUGUCACUUAUAGAUGGAUCCGCGCCGCAUUAGCUAGUUGGUAAGGUAACGGCUUACCAAGGCAACGAUGCGUAGCCGACCUGAGAGGGUGAUCGGCCACACUGGAACUGAGACACGGUCCAGACUCCUACGGGAGGCAGCAGUAGGGAAUCUUCCGCAAUGGGCGAAAGCCUGACGGAGCAACGCCGCGUGAGGGAUGAAGGUCCUCGGAUCGUAAAACUCUGUUAUUAGGGAAGAACAAAUGUGUAAGUAACUAUGCACGUCUUGACGGUACCUAAUCAGAAAGCCACGGCUAACUACGUG